GAUGAACGCUGGCGGCGUGCCUAAUACAUGCAAGUCGAGCGAACGGACGAGAAGCUUGCUUCUCUGAUGUUAGCGGCGGACGGGUGAGUAACACGUGGAUAACCUACCUAUAAGACUGGGGUAACUUCGGGAAACCGGAGCUAAUACCGGAUGAUAUUUUGAACCGCAUGGUUCAAAAGUGAAAGACGGUCUUGCUGUCACUUAUAGAUGGAUCCGCGCUGCAUUAGCUAGUUGGUAAGGUAACGGCUUACCAAGGCAACGAUGCAUAGCCGACCUGAGAGGGUGAUCGGCCACACUGGAACUGAGACACGGUCCAGACUCCUACGGGAGGCAGCAGUAGGGAAUCUUCCGCAAUGGGCGAAAGCCUGACGGAGCAACGCCGCGUGAGUGAUAAAGGUCUUCGGAUCGUAAAACUCUGUUAUUAGGGAAGAACAUAUGUGUAAGUAACUGUGCACAUCUUGACGGUACCUAAUCAGAAAGCCACGGCUAACUACGUG
rnacentral:rRNA from 1 species